UACGGAGGGUGCAAGCAUUAAUCGGAUUUAUUGGGCGUAAAGGGCGCGUAGGCGGGAAGGUAAGUCAAGUGUGAAAGACCGGGGCUCAACCUCGGAACCGCACCUGAAACUGCUUUUCUUGAGGGCGGGCGGAGAAAACGGAAUUCCACAAGUAGCGGUGAAAUGCGUAGAUAUGUGGAAGAACACCGGUGGCGAAAGCGGUUUUCUAGCUCGUUCCUGACGCUGAGGCGCGAAAGCAAGGGGAUCAAACAGG
rnacentral:rRNA from 1 species